rnacentral:rRNA from 1 species
GUACACGCUGUGACUAGCAUAUCAAUAAGCGGAGGAAAAGAAACUAACAAGGAUUCCCCUAGUAACGGCGAGUGAAGCGGGAAGAGCUCAAAUUUGAAAUCUUAAAGGGUUUCCCUUUACGAAUUGUAGUUUAAAGAAGUGUUUUCUGUUGAGGUUUUGGUAAAAGUUCUUUGGAAUAGGACAUCAUAGAGGGUGAGAAUCCCGUAUUUGACCUUUACUUUCAACUUUGUGAUACACUUUCAAAGAGUCGGAUUGUUUGGGAAUGCAGUCCAAAAUGGGUGGUAAAUUUCAUCUAAAGCUAAAUAUUGGCGAGAGACCGAUAGCGAACAAGUACCGUGAGGGAAAGAUGAAAAGAACUUUGAAAAGAGAGUUAAACAGUACGUGAAAUUGUCAAAAGGGAAGCGUUUGACACCAGUGUUGUUUUUCUGAAAAUCAAUUAAAGAACUGUUUAUGCUAAGCUGUUUAGACUUUAUCAGCUAUCUGUUUAGUUUUGAGCUUUUCUUUAAUGCACUUUUCAGUUAACAAGUCAACAUCAAUUUCUUUUGCUGUAAAAAAGCUUGAGGAAGGUGGCUUGAGAUUCGUCUUAAGUGUUUAUAGCCUCUUGCCUAUGCAGUCGGAGAGAUUGAGGUCUGCAGCCUAGAUCCUUCGGGGCUAAAUGCAUUUGUGCUAAGUUAUAGCAUUUUAUAGACAACUUGUUGACUAUGAUUUGUCUUGUAGCUUACUCGCUUAUGUUAUUUUACCUACGCUUAGGAUGUUGACUGAUAUGUAGUCGUA